AUUUAAAUUAAAAAAAUUGUGGAAAAAAUAUAAAAAGGGUAGUCAAUUUAAUCGUAUACUUCCUAUAAAAUGUAACGUCUUUAAUUUUAAUUAUUAAAAGUAUAAUUUAUGUUAUAUACCUUGUUCUACAUUAAAACAAAGUCGAUUCCUAAUAAGAUUUAUUGUCUAUCAACUUAUAAAAUAUAACUUUUAACUCAUAUCCUGUACGAGUGGCUCAUUCAUCUUGUCUAAAGUGUCCAUAAUAUCCUCAAAGGAUUCCUCAAGAGGAGGUACAUUUUCAUUUGAAUUUAAUUGCUCAAACUCAAAGAAAAGUUUGACUUCCUCUGGAUAGUUGUCGCUCAUUUUUCUUUGCACACGAUUAUGCAAAGAAAGUGAACUAAUAAAAGGAUCACUGCUGUGUAUUGCACGCAUAAAUACAUCGACCAGAUUGCUCUCUCUAGUGCAUUUGCGUGCAUGGUAUUCCCUAUCUUUCCGGAAUAUUUUAUGGCGUGCUUCUCCGCACUCUUCCCCUAUACUUCCUAACGGAACAGGAGUGUUCAGAAUUAGUUCUCCAGCAUGUGCUAAAAUUUUAUGUACAGUUGCUGGUAUGUAGUAUCAGCUAUACAAAUUAAUAAACUUAUAAUAAGUAUCCUUACAAUAUAAACUAAUCGUUUCUGCGUUAAAAGGCCGUUCACUAUUGAUAGCUAUUAAUAUAUUUCUAAACCGCCUUAUCAAGUCCUCAUCAACACCUAACGCUUCACUUGCAAGUUUAGGGUUGGAAAAUAUUCGCCUGCAAACAUUUCCUGUAGUGCUUGUGCCUGAUGAACCUGCUCGAACUUGGUCUACUUUCACUCCAAAUUUAGUAAAUAAAUCACGCAAAACAAUGCGUUUUCUAUUAUUGUAUGCCUCUCUGUAAUGCGCAGUCACUUUCCAUUUUGUAAAAUCUAAUCUGUAUGAUAUAUGCAAAAUACACUCUAAAACUCUUAUCCAACAGUGCAGGGGUGAUAUUCCAUGAAUCAAAGACCCCGGAGAAGGUUGGAAUCCGUUAUCGAUGUAUUUUACAUUCUGCAUUUCUGUGGGCUUUGAUCCACAUACCGGGCAGCAAGACGUUGGAAUUUGAGUGAUGUAUGAUAAGAUUUUUCCGUCAAUCAUACUCAAGACAAAUCUAAACUCUACAAUUACUGAUUUUUCCCUGUUUUCAGUUUCGAAUAAAUAUGGCCGAAGUGCUUCAAUUUCUGCUUCAAUUUCAGAUUUUUUAUUAAUCACUAAGUCACGAUUUUCUUUUGCAAAGAUCAUAGAAAUCGGUCGACAAAAUCGGACACUUUGAGGAGUUAAAUUUGACCACAUGAUUUCAUUUGAAGAAUCACCUUUGACAGUUAAGUUGAUGGGACUUAAUGAUGUUAUCAACACAUUACUAUCGUCGGCAGUUUCAUUAGAAUAAUUCUGAUGAUAUUGUGAAUGGCCUGAUGACCCGUCCAUACCCCAUGCCAUCAGUGAAAUUAAUUUUAAGUGGUUGUGUUUUCGGCUAUCCAUAUAGGCAAAUAUUUUGUCCUUUUCCAUUCUGACAAUGCUUUCUGUAGUCAUAUGUACAAGUGGUUGUAAAUCAACUUUCACAGAGCUUUCAGUUACAUGUAUUGACUCUGCCGACGGGGAACAUGUUUUUUUAGCUUUAAGUAUUUCCAUGUAGCUACGGAACUUUGAUGGACACUCUUUCCUAAUGAUACAAUAUUGUUUUUUGGAGAAAUUUCCUUCUAUCAAAAAUGAUAAGGCUUCUUCUCCUGAUUUCAUUGCAGGAGUAGAACAAUUAACCAUUUCAUUUCAUUUCAUUUCAUUUCAUUUAUUAAUACAAUAUCCGCCAUCAAGGCUAAAUAAGGCAGACUUAAAACUAAAUAAACCCUAACAAAUAAACAAAAUAAUUCAUGAAAAACUAAGCCUAACUAAACUAGUCUAGACCUAGCAAAAAAAUUAAAGAAAAAAAACAUAGGUAGAGCGUAGAGACUAUCAAAACUUAAUGAAACUUAGAAGAAUAAUUAAAGAGAAUUAGAAGAAAAAAUACGGUUACGGAAAGAGUUGAGAGAGGAGUCGAAAUCAAAGAGAUAGUAAAAGUGGUUAAACAACCUGAAAUAGGAUAGAAUAGGAUCAUUGAAAGUAUAAAGAGUAUGACGUGUUUCAAUUGACAGAGGAUCACGAGGACGAAGGGAACGAGAGGGAACAUACUACGAGAUGGACGAGAGUAAAUCAGGAGCAUCAGUAUCAGAAAGUAAUAAGCCACCAAUAAAACAUGCCUGAGACACUUGGCGGCGGAAGCUUAAAGAGUGAAGAUUGUUUGUUAACGCAUUUACAACAUACGUAUUUUUUUGCUGUGUUGCGAUUUUUCUUGCAAGCAUCAAUGCCUCAUCUACGGAUUCACAUUUAACUGAUGAAGACAUUUGCGCUAUUCUUCUUCGUUUUUGCCUGUUUGUAAGUUCACUAAAGAGUUUUUUUGACUGUAUGAUGGUGAUUUUUUCUCUCUUAAAGUCACAGAGAAAUUGUGUGUUCAACCACGCAAAAUUAGCCCUAUCAAAUUUGUUCCUAUCGCUGUUCGUUUUUUUCCACAGAUGCUUGGCUCGUCUUUCCAGCAAGUUAAGUUUUUGCUUUACUGCAUCUUCAUCAAUAUCUGACGAUUCCAAUGUUUCGCAAACGAAACGAAAAGCAUUCUCUACGUUCAGUUUAGCUGAAUUUUGGAAGUUAAACUGCAAAACAAGCUCCCGGUUGGUAAUUUGGGUUACGUUCUGUAUUAAUGGAAAAAAUAUUAGAUGUGCGUGUUGAACGCAAUUGAAGAAAUCGUUAAAUAAAAGUAUUUCAAUCGUUGGUCUGUAUUAUCUACCUGCAUAAUGUUAUUAAAUUGUUAGGACAAGAUAAAAGUGCCCAAAUUCACUAGCUGCGGAAUUUAUACGGUCUGGAAUAUUUUUCACUUGUGAUCAAAUUAACGUCGGUCUUGCUACUACGAUACGCAUCAGAAUCAAAAAUAUCUAACGCAUUGUGUUAUCAGUGUGCAUUAAUAUUCGUACUCUCUCAUGAGAAUACGCUAAGCUUAACGAUUUUUAUUGUAUUGGUCUAACGAUCAGUCGAUCCUUACUUUUACUACUACUUGUAUAUCUGUAUCAGUAUGCAUUUCAAUUGAAGUAGACUUUAUUUGUCGGUGUAGAUACUCAAAUAGUACCGUUAGCCUACGUUUCAUUUAUUUGGCUGUUUGUAUUGCAUGGUUUCCAAUGCAAUGAACAACUGUCCACAUAUUUAUAACAAUGAUCCUUUUGAAUAGCCACCUCAGCCAAUCACAUGUAUCCUGGUGCUGAGUUGUUUAUUUGAGGAAAAUAUUGUAAUAAACAUGGGGACAGUUAUUGUUCGGACUAGUAAACCCAGGAUAGAUUUAGAGAUUAACGAACCCUUCGUAUGAUUAUUUGCAAUACAAUACUUAUAGCAAGCAACAGAUAGUGUUUGCUUUUGCUCAAACAGAAGAAAAAAAUAGAUAAAUGUUAUCACUUUUAUUUUAGUUUGUUGGUUAUUUAAAAACAGUAAGAAAAAGGGGGAACUAAAUUUAUCAAUACAAGUACAAAACUAUUCAAUUGUAGGUGGUUGAAAAUAAUAAAAAACUUCUUCUUCUUAUUUGAUGUAGUAAGUCUAUACCUGUGUAGGCAACGUUGCGGCUAAAAUGUCUUUGACUGAUUUGUGAGUCCAUAACAAAUUGACCAGGUUUGCAUAUAGUGAAGCAGGAGGAAGGGAGCUCGAACUGUACGGGGUUUGAACCCAUGCAGGGUAUGUUGUUAGAUUGUAAAAAAUGACAACUGUACCUCAAGAAUAACCACAGUGUAGUUAAUCGGAAAACAAUGUCGUAUUUUUAGCUCUGUUUGUUGCAUUUAUUAUUUCAAUCAAUCAACUUUUAAUUUGCUGCAGCGCUUAGAGGGGACAAAAGGGGACCGAAAUUUUUUCACAGAAGUUGUAGAAAGUGUUAAACUUUAAUUCAAUGUGGGUAGCAAAAACAGGAAGUUACAGGAAAUAAAAUGGCGCUCUAUAAUAUUGGCUUAUUGGUAUAUUUUUCAGCUUUUUCUAUUUAUAGUUUGUAGUAGCUUUUUUAUUCGUCACAGUAGCUUAAGUCUAUUAACAUAUUCUUAAAGACAAAAAAAAACCUUUCCAACGAUAUAUUAUUUAAAUUUUUAGGUAGAACACAAACGAAGCUUUAAGCAAAUACAUUAUGUCAGUGGAUACGGCUUAAAAACGGCCAAUUAGCCAAGACUUUUAGAUUCAAAGCGUCAGAACUUUUGAACAAAUCUAGAAAUUCAUUAAAAUAUCAACUUUAUACUAAACAUCAAUGCUAGUUUAAGUUAAAAAUAAAAUGGGUAGAAAUAAACAGAAAAAAUACUUUUCCAUAAAGUCCGCCUUUAGACCACUGUGGGUCGUGCCGAACCCCGUUCGGGUUUUGCUUCGGCUUCGGGUUUGCUUCGGCUUCGGGACCCGACGGAUCACUUGAAUAAUUUCGCCAACUCAGCUUCAAAGCCAGCUUCAAUCUCAGCGGAUCUCUUAGUGCUGGUGACCGGUGGGAACAGUCAAAAGCCGAAGAUUUUAUAUUGACCUUUCGUUUUUUCUAUCUGUCUCUCGCUCUAAUUUGAGUGAUUUUCCAUUCGUGAGUAUCCACGAGCUCCCUCCCAACCAGCAAAACCGUAGCUAUUGGAAAACUUUCCUGUGUGCCAAAGCGAGAGAGCAUGUCUUCUUUUUCUAGAUUUUGGACGGCACAACGCCGAUCGUGUGGCCUAUGAACGAAAAACGGGAGAAGGGGAAACCGAUAUCCUUCGCGUGACACACACGCAUGCAUCGGUAUGCGUAUUUCGCUGAACCGAGACUACACAUCUCUCUCGAUCUCCCAUGAUUUUUUUUGCUAUCGCGCUCAUACGGGUGUUAGGCAUCCUCAGUCUGUCCAGAACUUUCACUGUGGAAGGAUGUGUUGGAGUGAUGUGUGAUUUCUUGUGCCCCGUACUUUGCUCGCUUACGUUUUGUGCCGUGUUCCUUCUUUUUCAAUUAUGGAAUGAUUUAUCCUUGUAAAUUUCUAAGUUACAGUGCACGCGCAUGUUAAUCGACGGAAGGAAAACGUUGUCCGGUUUUAAAAUAUAAAGAUAUAAUUACAGCUCUUUCGUAGAAGAGCGCACUUCAAUGACGCCUAGGAUACGGCUAAACAUGCGCAGCACCAGUCCGUGACGUCAU